rnacentral:rRNA from 1 species
GAUGAACGCUGGCGGCGUGCUUAACACAUGCAAGUCGAACGAAGCACUUUAUUUGAUUUCCUUCGGGACUGAUUAUUUUGUGACUGAGUGGCGGACGGGUGAGUAACGCGUGGGUAACCUGCCUUGUACAGGGGGAUAACAGUUGGAAACGGCUGCUAAUACCGCAUAAGCGCACGGCAUCGCAUGAUGCAGUGUGAAAAACUCCGGUGGUAUAAGAUGGACCCGCGUUGGAUUAGCUAGUUGGUGAGGUAACGGCCCACCAAGGCGACGAUCCAUAGCCGAACUGAGAGGGUGACCGGCCACAUUGGGACUGAGACACGGCCCAAACUCCUACGGGAAGCAGCAGUGGGGAAUAUUGCACAAUGGGCGAAAGCCUGAUGCAGCGACGCCGCGUGAGCGAAGAAGUAUUUCGGUAUGUAAAGCUCUAUCAGCAGGGAAGAUAAUGACGGUACCUGACUAAGAAGCACCGGCUAAAUACGUG